AUGGAUGGAGGAACUUCAUGGGGGCACGGAUGGUUUCAAAUACAGUCACAUCCAAUCCCUCCAAGAUGUAUUUUGUCCUGGCAUCAUAUUUCCUGGCAUUUGCCUAGUGUGGCCUGGAUAAGCAAGGGUUACAUGUUGAACCAAAUUCAGCUGAGACCUCUGGGUGUUACUGACCCAACCUCUACACUUUGGUCGGCUGUUUUCGCAGGGGUAAAAUCUAGAGCUGCUAAGAUAGACGAAACCAUGACCAUGACAAGCACGUGGACCAGGCCACAAUUGUACAAAGGGGACAUUGAUGCUAAGGAUGUGCAUCCUGCCAAAGCCUGCAUUGCCUCCAUUUCUUCCACAUCAUCCGCAGACCUCGUCCGCUUGCCUGAAACUCCUGACCUUUCCCCUCUUGGGCUGCCUCAAGUCUGCAUAAGUGAUGCGCAAGGAACCUGUCCCUACCGGGACUGAAGAGGAGACAGGUGCUGCCUCGUUGCACAGCAUCUCUUGCCAUCUCGCCUCUCUUCCCAGUUCAACAGUUUGGACAACUCGAGAAAUUCAGGUUGGCCAGGAAGGUCAGUUCCAACUGGAUAGCCCUCAGGCUUAAGUCCUUUAAGCAAAUCCAAGUAAAGUGGAUAUAGACUUCACAGUCCUUAAGCUCAGAAAUAUAGAAUGGAGUCUCCUGGGGGGAAUGACAUUUUUUACAUCCUUUUUUGUAAGUUUUAUUGAAGUAGAGUUGAGUUACAUUGUUGUGAUCAUUUCUUCUCGACAACAAAGUGACUCAGUCAUACGUACACACACAUCCAUUCUCAUUUAGAUUCUUUCCCACAUUGAUGAUCACAGAACACUCAUUGGGUAGAGUUCUCUGGGCUCUACAGCAGGUCCCCAUUGGCCAGGCGUUCCAUGUACCUCAAUGUGCAUAACGUUUAUUUCUGGUCUUGAGCUGCCACUCUUUCAGAUACAGAAAAACGGAUCUCAUGACUUUAAGGUAAAUUCUGUCAGCUUUUGUAAUUUCUCAAUCACUUCAGGUUAAAAAAACUGCUACUUUUUUUUCCCCCUUUUAAAAAUAGGAGUUCCUGUCCAGGCACAGUGGUUAAUGAAUCCAACUAGGAACUAUGAGGUUUAGGGUUUGAUCCCUGGCCUUGCUCAGUGGGUUAAGGAUCCAGCGUGGACGUAAGCUGUGG
rnacentral:lncRNA from 1 species